UUUACUAAAAUAUUUUGUUCUUCACAAUGAACACUAUAAUAAUGUUUUCUUGGAAUUCUUUUUCUACGAUUCUACGAUUUAAAAGAAAGUUAAUCUUAUGUAUUACGAUAUCGAGAAUUUUAGACAAAUCUUCUGCCGAAGCUUCAAUCGCAAAUUUUCAAUUGUGCGAUUAAAUUAAGAGGGGAGGUGUCACAUGCCACGUGUGUGACCUCUAAGUAACCUUAGACCAGACCUGUUACCAAGCAAACUUGACAAACACCCAUCGAUGAGCAAUCUUUUUACAACCCUAUUACGUCGAUACACGGAUGUGAUCUGGGUAUAUAAGGCCCUAAAUUUGGAUCCAAAAGUCAGUAUCUAGUCAGCAUCCAGUCAGUAUCUAAUUUAAAUCAUACCGAUCGACAUCAUCUCUGUACCAGUAGUCAGUGCGAAUCUAUACUCGUUACCUACGAUUAUCCCAGUCUAAGUAAUACCCAUCUCGUGUGACCGAGCCAUUGUCAAACUUCCAAGCAGUAAAAAUUGGAAAGGCGGUGCAUCUGAACUGACUGUGGACGCACGAGCGGAGAACGGGUUUUCAGCUUCACAAAGAAGCAAUAAAGGUGUUUAUUGGAACUGGUCUUCUCUCGGCAACAUACAAAUAAAGAACUUCAAGAAAUCAUUAUAUACUAUUUUAUAAUAAAUUUCAUUUUAACUAA